GUUUUCAGCCUUAAGGAUCCCCCCGCCUCCAGGCUGGGAAGUCCGCGGCAGACGGGGUGCCCUGCACUGGGGGAUGGGCAGCAAACAGAUGGCCACAGUGAGGAGCCUCAACGUUUUAAAGACCAUGGAAAUCAAAAAAAUGAUUGGCAAAUCCCUUCAGCCAGCAAGACCGGUGCGCCACUUGUCUGAGCAGAUUGCUUCAACUAUUAAUUUCAACUUAAAAAGUGAAUUUGCAUGCAACACUCAAGUAUGCUUACGUAGUGACAGUAGUUGGUGGUGUGAGUCUCCUGGAAUGAUUGAAAGUAAUCAUGCAGAACAGCAUGAGGUUGAAUCUAAAAAAGAAAGAAUUCAAUACAGUAGGGACUUCCUCUUAAAGCUCGCAAGUGUUUCACACUCGCAGAAGAAGCCAGACUUUCUUCCUGAUCAUCCGGUAGUUCUUGAAAGACCAGGAUGUCAAAUGCACUUGGCUCCCUGGGCUGAAUGUGGACUACGUGGCUUCUCACUGGACAGAUCUGGAUCUACUUCUAGUAGCGGGGCAAGCCGCAGCAGAGCGAGCAGUGUUGGGGAGCCACAUGGGCUAAUGCAGCCAUUGCUCACCCCACUGAGAAGCAUCCCCAGCAGAGCUCUGUACCCCAUGGGCCUUAUGUUUGACACCCCUGCGCUUGAAGAAUUGGGGUCCAUGAAGACAAAGUUGAAGGAAAACAACUUUUUAUUUGUGCAAAAAAUGACAGGUCCUUUUUGAAGAUCAAAAAUCCAGAUUUUAUACAACUACAUAUGAACUGGACUAAAAGCCACUUUAGCAGGGAAUGCAUGUUGAACAAUACUGUUGUCGCCAUGGUGAUAAUCUACCAGGAUGGAAUGCUGUAGACUAAAAUCUGAUUUAGAAGGCAGAGUGGAUACUUUAAACAUGAUGUUUUAAAUCCAGUUUCUGACUGAAUUUUAUAUUUUUGACUCUCAUAUUACUUUAUCUCAAGUUAACCCUACUUUUGCCAAGCAUGAUUGGAACAUCACUUUUUUUCUUCUGAUUUUUUUCCAGUAUGGCCAUACACGUUAGGCACAAUGAAGUCUGUUGCUACCAGAGUGAGAAAUGGCAUCAUUCACUAAACUCUGCAGUAAGAUUUUUGUCCCUUGAGUAAGUUUUGCUCAAACAAGGUCCCAUUAGGACACAGGACUGAAGGAACUCCUAUGUUAUGGAGUCUGUUCUCUUCCUAUCAGAGGCAGCCCUGUUACAAAAGUGUUCAAAUUUAACUUAUUAAGUCUGGAUACUUUUUGUUAAUUUGCUUGAGGAAAGUGUUUCAGACUUGUCCCAAAUGAGUUUCUAGAGAGAGAGAAUGGUUUCCUUUCCCAGCUUUGCCACAAAUUUUUGGCUUGACCUUGGACAAGGAGGCCAGAUCCAAAGAAUAACUUUAAUUAUCUGGCCUAUGGUGCCUCAGAAAAGCAAUAUAAACAAUGUACAGACUAAGUAGAUAGCUGCCCAGAGCUUGUUGACAGGAAAAGCCAAGCUGUAAUAAGAGGAAAAAGUACAACAGGGAUAUGGAAAAAAUUAAUGGGAAACUGUUAUUUACCAUGUUUCAUAAGAGCUAAGGGAUGCCCAAUGAAAUGAUCAGGAAGCAGGUUUGAAAACAAAGAAGAAAUUAUACUUUUUUUACACAGUGAAUAAUUAGCACAUGGAACUCAUUUUUACAGGAAGCUGUGGAGGCUAGCAGUAUAACUGGAUCCCAGAAAGGGUUUGGACGAGUUUGUGGAGGAUAAAUCUGUCGGGGGGACUAUUAAACACAACAAUUGGAUAUAAUCUCUGGCUGGUGACUGGGAGGAUAUGACAGGGGGGUUGGAUCACCCUGUCUCUUUUGUAUACUUUCUCUAAAGCAUCCACUUUCAGAGACCAGAUGCUGGGCUAGAUGGAACGUUGAUAUGACCCAUUAUAGCAAUUUUUAUGUUCUUAUAUAGGAAAUGGAGAUCAUCACGUUGCUGAUAAGUUUAAAUCUGUAUUACUCUAUAUAAAACCUUAUUGCUUAAAAUAAAGAGAAACAACAAAAAAUAAA